rnacentral:rRNA from 1 species
CCCUUAGAUGUUCUGGGCCGCACACGCGCUCCACUGAAGGAGGCAGCGUGUACUCCUGGAUCGAAAGAUUUGGGUAACCCGCGAAUCUCCUUCGUGCUAGGGAUUGAGGUUUGCAAUUAUCCUUCAUGAACGAGGAAUUCCCAGUAAGUGCAAGUCAUAAGCUUGCGCUGACUACGUCCCUGCCCUUUGUACACACCGCCCGUCGCUACUACCGAUUGAAUGAUUUAGUGAGGACUUCGGACUGGGACCGAUGCGGCUUUCGGGCUGCGUCGGUAUUCUGGAAAGAUGUCCAAACUGUAUCAUUUAGAGGAAGUAAAAGUCGUAACA